GAAAAAGCAUAGAAAGCUCUGUGAACCAUGUGAAGAGGUAGUUUAUACAUCACAGGCAUCAGGAUAAGUAAGAGGAUCUUGUAGAGAGCAGUUAAUGAGGAAGCUGGUUUGACGUAGAGCAAGAUAUCAAGGAGCUUGCUUAAAUCCCAAAUUACCAAGAGAACAUCUCACAUUAACUUAACCUUUGGGCUCCACAGACAUGUGAGCUGAGAGUGAUCCCAAGGAGCAGACCCAUCCCUGGUCAACCUCUGGUGCCUCUGCAACACGCCUCUUGUAUGAACACAAGGAGCUGCGCAGCUAGCUACUUGGAAAUCUGAGACUGAUGCAGAUUAGAACACGCUACCUACAGAGAAAAGGGAAGCUGACAGUCUUAUUCCUGGAGGAGCAGGAGGAAAUCAUUGCUCAUUCCGAACAUCACCUGCAGGAAGAAGAUUUAAUAUCCAUCCUAUUAACUGAACACAAAAGCAGCUAUAUACAUUCCCACUGACUCUCUGCUGGUGAUAGAUUCAUAAAUACAGGGGGACACACAAAUGGACAUUCUCCCUUAAUACAAUCUCAGGUCAUUGGGUUGGAGAGGUUGAUUCAGGGAUGAGCAACAGGCUUCUCCCUGUACCCUGAAAGCGGAACAUCUGACCUGUCCAACUGUAAAAAUAACUCUUCAUCCUUACAUGAAAUGGGUGGAAAGUCUUACUGUUUCUCACCCCAUUAGUGUUCUUCCUCCUUCUUCCAAUCAACUUUAUUGUUGGACGGCAAUAAUUCAGUGGCUUUUUAGGAACUGUUUCUGAUAUAUCCCUAUAUGUCCACCUACAUAUAUGAAACCAGCAUCAAUUAUAUAAAAAGAAAGCAUAUACCUAAAUUCAUCUGAAAAAACUAUUUUGCUGUGUUUCAGGUAGACCCCAAAUUAAUCUAGACGGGACUUUGUGCUGAUCAGACUUUUAUUCUUAAUUACCUGUGUUUUUUCAAAUGUCACUUUGAGGCCACAGCAAGGUCCAUCACUAUUUUAGAUAUUUUCCAGAUGCCUAGUAAGAAAGAGGACAUAUUAGAAAGAAAAGUAUUCUAAAUCAACAAACUCCAAACUAGUGAUGAAGUGUGGAAGGUGAUUGUUUCUUCUGAGUUUGGGGGACAAUGAUUCAGAUCUGAUAUUUUAAUUUAGCCUCACCUGCAAAUUCUAUUAAAAAAAGGAAAUAGUCCAACCGAAUCUUACAUUAUUCCCCAAAAGCUAUGUAAUCUUUGUUUUAUCAAAGUUCUGAAAAUAUUAUAUCUAUUUUAUACAUUAAAAGGCCUUUAUUCUUCCUGUACCCUUUUUUAGUUCUAAUCAAUUAUUUUAUUCUUUGUAUUGCAGAGUUUAUUUUUGAAUAAACAUAGAAGAUCAUGUUUAUUCUGUUCUCAUGAAUUAAACCAGCCAGAAAAGGGUAGUGUGUCUUCUUAAAAAAAUCAGGUUGACAAAAUAUUUUCAGCACCUAUUCUUCCUGGAUAUGUCUUUACUUCUUGGCUAUUUUCCCAAAGUGCUUGGAACAGAUGUUCCUGUUUGUAAACCUUGCUAUAUGUGUUUAUUUGGGGGAGUCUGCAACUUCAUUCGACUGCUGUUUAUGCUGCAACAGUGCAGUAUCCUUCUACUGCUCCUAUCUAGCCUAUUUGCAAGGUUCAGAAGGGUCCUCAGUGGUGGACAAACAGUAUUAGCUGUCCAUUUGGCACACAGACAAGGCACCUUUUCUCUGGCCCUUGAACUUCCUUGCAAAGGAUGUUUGGAACCUGAAUUCCAUAACUAGAGCUGAAAGGGGGGGAAAAAAGAACUGCAGUAACCCAUUAUUAAAUAUUUCUAAAUGAUGUUUCAGCUGUCAUGAUAUGGGUAACAUUCUAGCUAUCUGGUUACUCAUUAGGUGACCUGCCAUGAUGAUCUGUGAUGUGCUUCUGCAGUGUCCUUAUUAAGACCUAUGUGCUGUGCUGUUUUUAAGUAGUAAUCUGCUAUAAGUAGAUUGUGUCCUUUUCACUGGGUGAGAUUCAAUCUAAAAAUACUUCAUUUUUAUUUAUUAAAUGUCAAGAAAACCAA